rnacentral:rRNA from 1 species
AGAGUUUGAUCAUGGCUCAGAUUGAACGCUGGCGGCAGGCCUAACACAUGCAAGUCGAACGGUAGCACAGAGAGCUUGCUCUCGGGUGACGAGUGGCGGACGGGUGAGUAAUGUCUGGGAAACUGCCUGAUGGAGGGGGAUAACUACUGGAAACGGUAGCUAAUACCGCAUACGCCCUACGGGGGAAAGCAGGGGACCUUCGGGCCUUGCGCGAUUGGAUAUGCCCAGGUGGGAUUAGCUAGUUGGUGAGGUAAUGGCUCACCAAGGCGACGAUCCCUAGCUGGUCUGAGAGGAUGAUCAGCCACACUGGGACUGAGACACGGCCCAGACUCCUACGGGAGGCAGCAGUGGGGAAUAUUGCACAAUGGGCGCAAGCCUGAUGCAGCCAUGCCGCGUGUAUGAAGAAGGCCUUAGGGUUGUAAAGUACUUUCAGCGAGGAGGAAGGCGUUGUGGUUAAUAACCUCAGCAAUUGACGUUACCCGCAGAAGAAGCACCGGCUAACUCCGUGCCAGCCGCCGCGGUAAUAC